CCGUAGCUCAGUUGGAUAGAGCAACGGCCUUCUAAGCCGUGGGUCGCAGGUUCGAAUCCUGCCGGG
rnacentral:tRNA from 2 species